UACGUAGGGUCCGAGCGUUGUCCGGAAUUAUUGGGCGUAAAGAGCUCGUAGGCGGUUUGUCGCGUCUGCUGUGAAAACUCAGGGCUUAACCCUGAGCUUGCAGUGGGUACGGGCAGACUAGAGUGCGGUAGGGGAGACUGGAAUUCCUGGUGUAGCGGUGAAAUGCGCAGAUAUCAGGAGGAACACCGGUGGCGAAGGCGGGUCUCUGGGCCGUAACUGACGCUGGAGGAGCGGAAAGCAUCGGGGAGCGAACAGG
rnacentral:rRNA from 1 species